rnacentral:rRNA from 1 species
AGAGUUUGAUCCUGGCUCAGGAUGAACGCUAGCGACAGGCUUAACACAUGCAAGUCGAGGGGCAUCAUGAGGUAGCAAUACCUUGAUGGCGACCGGCGCACGGGUGAGUAACGCGUAUGCAACCUGCCCGAUACCGGGGUAUAGCCCAUGGAAACGUGGAUUAACACCCCAUAGUACUUUUAUCCUGCAUGGGAUGUGAGUUAAAUGUUCAGGGUAUCGGAUGGGCAUGCGUCCUAUUAGUUAGUUGGCGGGGUAACAGCCCACCAAGACGAUGAUAGGUAGGGGUUCUGAGAGGUUGAACGGCCACAUUGGGACUGAGACACGGCCCAGACUCCUACGGGAGGCAGCAGUGGGGAAUAUUGCACAAUGGGGGAAACCCUGAUGCAGCGACGCCGCGUGGAGGAAGAAGGUCUUCGGAUUGUAAACUCCUGUUGUUGGGGAAGAUGAUGACGGUACCCAACAAGGAAGUGACGGCUAACUACGUGCCAGCAGCCGCGGUAAAACGUAGGUCACAAGCGUUGUCCGGAAUUACUGGGUGUAAAGGGAGCGCAGGCGGGAAGACAAGUUGGAAGUGAAAUCUAUGGGCUCAACCCAUAAACUGCUUUCAAAACUGUUUUUCUUGAGUAGUGCAGAGGUAGGCGGAAUUCCCGGUGUAGCGGUGGAAUGCGUAGAUAUCGGGAGGAACACCAGUGGCGAAGGCGGCCUACUGGGCACCAACUGACGCUGAGGCUCGAAAGUGUGGGUAGCAAACAGGAUUAGAUACCCUGGUAGUCCGCACCGUAAACGAUGAUUACUAGGUGUUGGAGGAUUGACCCCUUCAGUGCCGCAGUUAACACAAUAAGUAAUCCACCUGGGGAGUACGACCGCAAGGUUGAAACUCAAAGGAAUUGACGGGGGCCCGCACAAGCAGUGGAGUAUGUGGUUUAAUUCGACGCAACGCGAAGAACCUUACCAAGUCUUGACAUCCCUUGACAGACAUAGAAAUAUGUAAUCUCUUCGGAGCAAGGAGACAGGUGGUGCAUGGUUGUCGUCAGCUCGUGUCGUGAGAUGUUGGGUUAAGUCCCGCAACGAGCGCAACCCUUAUGGUCAGUUACUACGCAAGAGGACUCUGGCCAGACUGCCGUUGACAAAACGGAGGAAGGUGGGGAUGACGUCAAAUCAUCAUGCCCUUUAUGACUUGGGCUACACACGUACUACAAUGGCGUUAAACAAAGAGAGGCAAGACCGCGAGGUGGAGCAAAACUCAGAAACAACGUCCCAGUUCGGACUGCAGGCUGCAACUCGCCUGCACGAAGUCGGAAUUGCUAGUAAUCGUGGAUCAGCAUGCCACGGUGAAUACGUUCCCGGGCCUUGUACACACCGCCCGUCACACCAUGAGAGCCGGGGGGACCCGAAGUCGGUAGUCUAACCGCAAGGAGGACGCCGCCGAAGGUAAAACUGGUGAUUGGGGUGAAGUCGUAACAAGGU